GGGCUCUUAGCUCAGCUGGGAGAGCAUCGCACUGGCAGUGCGAAGGUCGGGGGUUCGAUUCCCCCAGAGUCCACCA
rnacentral:tRNA from 1 species